ACAGGGAAAAGCUUGCUUUUCCGCUGACGACCGGUGCACGGGUGCGUAACGCGUAUGCAACCUACCUUUUACAGGAGUAUAGCCCAGAGAAAUUUGGAUUAAUCCUCCAUAAUAUCUUUUUCGUGCAUAUGAAAAAGAUUAAAGCUACGGUGGUAAAAGAUGGGCAUGCGUUUUAUUAGCUAGUAGGUGAGGUAACGGCUCACCUAGGCCACGAUAAAUAGGGGCCCUGAGAGGGGGAUCCCCCACACUGGUACUGAGACACGGACCAGACUCCUACGGGAGGCAGCAGUGAGGAAUAUUGGACAAUGGACGAAAGUCUGAUCCAGCCAUGCCGCGUGCAGGAUGACGGCCCUAUGGGUUGUAAACUGCUUUUAUACAGGAAGAAACACUCUCACGUGUGGGGGCUUGACGGUACUGUACGAAUAA
rnacentral:rRNA from 1 species